AAGGCGCGUGUAUAAAUUUGACAGCUGUCGGGUUAUGUGUUUUUGGAUGUGAAAAGGAAUUGUGAAAAACAUGGAUGAAAGGGAAUUUGGCGUGUUGAUAAAAUAUUGCUUUUUGAAGGGAAAAAAUACAGACGAAGCCAAAAAUUGGCUUGAUGAAGAAUUUCCGGGCACUGCCCCAGGAAAAUCAACCAUCAAGGAUUGGUAUGCUAAGUUUAGACGUGGUGAAAUGUGCACCGAAGAUGGAGUAAGCAGUGAACGCCCAAAAGAGGUUGUUAACGACGAGGAUUGAGGAGCUAUAAAGUGGAACAAUGUAAAGACCAUACUUCAAAACAAGUCUGUUGUUUGAAGAAGCAUUUUACUUAAUAAAUAUUUAAAUAAAAAUAAAGCGUAUUUACAGAAUUUCAUGUGAUCUGCUGGAGAACAUUCAAAAAACGAUGUGUUGUGUUGAUUCAGUUUCCACCGAAGCUUCUUGCCGGGACCAUCCCUAUAAUUUGAAGAUUCACUUAAAAUCAAUCAGACAAAAAAAUUAGAUUUUUUAAAUAACAGAAGUUUUUUCAAAAUUUCAGAAAAAGCCCACAGUUAAUUGUUUAUAAAAAAUCUAAAUAAAAAAUCCUUAUCCCAGUCACUAGUUUUUCUUGUUUUCAACAAUCUGUUCAUUCAUCAGUUCAAAAGACACAGUUUAGCGGAAAACGCAUUUGAAAUUUUACAAAAAUUUUACACCCGAAAACUCUUUGCUAAUCCUCGAAUAACUCAAAAGUAUUUGUCGGAUUUAUUUAUUUUUCAAUAUUUAUAACAUAUGUAUUUUACUUUAAUAAAAUGCAAAAUCGAUAGUUUGAAAUA